UUUUCUUUCAGUUCAUCAGUGCAUUUGUUGGAACUCUUUUGGUUUCAAAUAACAGACAUCAACUUGAGCCAGCAGAAACGAAUAAAGAGACUGAAUUAUAAAGCUCUCGGAGUGUCUGGAGAAGCAUAAUGGCAGGACUGCAGCUGGGCUGCAAGAAGAACCUAGGGGACUGAAAAGCUUUCAGAACAUUUCCUCUCCUCUUGAAUUGACUGGCUUUCCCUGGUCCCUCUUCCACAAGGAGACAAACGUGGCUCUGUAUGUGGGCUUUGCUGCGGACAUGCGGUGAACUGGCCAUUUCUGAAGCAGAGGGCAUGGUGACGGUUGGGAGUAGGGAGCGGCUGGAUGUAGAUUUGGGACGUGGGCGAGGGCCAGGUCCAAGUUGAUUUUAACAAGUGGGAAUUUUAUCCUGAAGGCAAUGCAUGGCAGAGCCACUGAAGCGAGUAGAGUAGAACAAGCACAGGUCCACCGCGAUUAGAUCACCCUGGUGCUAUUGCGAAACAGACCUGAGGGGGCAAAACCAGAGCGGGUAGAGUAGUUAGGACACUAUUGCAACACGUGUUCUGGGAACGAGAUUCGGAAGUCCUUCUGGGGGUGGGACUAGAGAGGAGUGGACUGGAGAACAAUUGAAGAGGUAGGUCCGCAGGAGUCGUCAUAGAUGGGCUACGGGGAGAGGGAGGAAGACUCUACAGUGACCGCCAGGUUGUUGGCCCUGACGACUGGCUAAAGGACGCUGAUAUUAAGUGUGAUGGGGGUUAGGGGAGAAGGAGCAAAUUUUGUUUUGGGGCGGGAGGAGAUGAAAUCACACUGUCUCCAUAGAAAUCACACUGUCUCCACAGCAUGGCUGGGGCUAGCCUGAUUGUACGUAUAGCAAAUUAAGUUAACUUGGUGUUUGUUGAGUUUGGGAUGCUCAACUCAUGAUGCCCAGGACACCAAGAGCAUUUGAUUCUGUCCCUCUGGGAGAAUCAGCCCCGGAGAUUUACGGUCGAUCUGGGACCCAUCAGCAUAAAAUACGGUCAUUCCAUUAUGACUCUGAAUAUGACCCAAGGGGAGCAUGGGAUAGGAAAGGACAGUUGACACAGGAUGGAAACGUGUAAAAUACCAGCAGGUGAUGGGAGUGGGAGAAGGGACUGAGGAAGAGGGGCUCACGAAGGAGUCAGAGAAAGAGAUACUCAGCAGUGUUAACACAGCAGAGAGGCUUAAUGAGAUGACUAAAAGAUGUCCAGUCACUUAUUUAGCCAUGAAUUAUUUGUUAAGCACCUCCUGUAUUUACCUGCUGUAGCAGUUAAGAGCUCAGACGUUAAAGCCAGGCUGUGUGUAUGUAUAUAUCAUUAGCGUAAGUAUAUGCUAAUAAUCAUGCUGUUAUUAUCAUGUAUCAGCCACUCUUCAGAACUCCAGGGAUACAGCUGUGAACAAAGCGGACUAGGUCUCUGCUCUUAUGGAAUUGCCAUUCUAUUUCGAGAACUGGACCUCUUCGGCUGAUUCAUGCAAGAUGACUCGUUAGCUGUUUAAUCAAGUCCUCCUGCAUUUGGCAUAGGGUUAGGAAGUAUGAAAGCUGGUAUGGCCUAUAAGCAGACCGCUGUCCGAGGAAUAUGCCAUCCAAGACCUAAAGCUUGCAUGGUGACAGAUAUCCUUUCAGGCCAGUUGCCAACUCUGAGAAGUCUCUGAGAGAAAUAGCACCUUGACGGAACUGCAGAGAAGAAACUUCCCGUGAUUCUGCAAAGCACAAAGCAGCCACAGGUGAGGCCUGGACCCAUGUGAGGGAGCCUGCGAGGGAGCCCGCGGUUGCCCAGGUGGGCAUUUGGACCGCACAGGACUUCUUGUAACCUGAGCAAAGUAGCAUGUGGCGGUCUCAGGUUUUCAAGUGACCGUCCCUGCUCUGUCUGUCAUUCUCUUGCUGUCUGAGCUGCCACCUCUUGGACCUCUGCUUCCCUCCUGAGUGAAAUGGCUCACACACUCGUGCCUUGCUCACAGUGUUGUUGUAAGGACCAAAUGAUAUUCAUAAAACCAUGUCUGGCUCUCAGGAAGCGCUUCAUAAAUAUUAGCCAUUGUUAUUACCUGUUCUUGUUAUCUGGGAUGGUUUUUCCUAAAUAAUUUUUAUUAAUAAGCAGAAUGGGGAGUUCCCAUCAUG